GUUUGAUCUGGUCAGGAUGAACGCUGGCGGCGUGCUAAUCGCAAGUCGAGCGAAUGGAUAAGAGCUUGCUUUUGAAGUUAGCGGCGGACGGGUGAGUAACACGUGGGUAACCUGCCCAUAAGAUGGGAUAACUCCGGGAAACCGGGGCUAAUACCGGAUAACAUUUUGAACGCAUGGUUGAAAUGAAAGGCGGUUCGGCUGUCACUUAUGGAUGGACCCGCGUCGCAUUAGCUAGUUGGUGAGGUAACGGCUCACCAAGGCAACGAUGCGUAGCCGACCUGAGAGGGUGAUCGGCCACACUGGGACUGAGACACGGCCCAGAUCUACAGCAGUAGGGAAUCUUCCCAGACGAAAGUUGACGGAGCAACGCCGCGUGAGUGAUGAAGGCUUUCGGGUCGUAAAACUCUGUUGUUAGGGAAGAACAAGUGCUAGUUGAAUAAGCUGGCACCUUGACGGUACCUAACCAGAAAGCCACGGCUAACUACGUGCCAGCAGCCGCGGUGCAAGCCAUUAUUGGGCGUAAAGCGCGCGCAGGUGGUUUCUUAAGCUGAUGUGAAAGCCCAGUAACCGUGGAGUGACAGACUUGAGUGCAGAAGAGGAAAGUGGAAGAGUAGGAGGAACACCGAAGGCGACUU
rnacentral:rRNA from 1 species